CUUAAAUUGAAGAGUUUGAUCAUGGCUCAGAUUGAACGCUGGCGGCAGGCCUAACACAUGCAAGUCGAGCG
rnacentral:rRNA from 1 species